GACGAACGCUGGCGGCGUGCCUAAUACAUGCAAGUCGAACGCAGUGGGGACGGGUGAGUAACACGUGGGUAACCUCCCCAUCAGAGGGGAUAACACUUGGAAACAGGUGCUAAACCGAUACUGAUGGAUGGACCGACGGUACAUUAGCUAGUGGGUGAGGUAACGGCUCACCAAGGCCACGAUGCAUAGCCGCCCUGAGAGGGUGAUCGGCCACCCGGGGACUUAGACACGGCCCAGACUCCUACGGGAGGCAGCAGUAGGGAAUCUUCGGCAAUGGACGAAAGUCUGACCGAGCAACGCCGCGUGAGUGAAGAAGGUUUUCGGAUCGUAAAACUCUGUUGUUAGAGAAGCGGUAUCUAACCAGAAAGCCACGGCUAACUACGUGCCAGCCGCCGCGGUAAUAC
rnacentral:rRNA from 1 species